CUGUUGUGAGCAUCUAUACUUCUGCACCGAGUCUAUGAAGAGCUUACGCCAUAGCUUACGCUGUUGUGAGCAUCUAUACUUCUGCACCGAGUCUAUGAAGAGCUUACGCCAAAGCUUAUGCUGUUGUGAGCAUCUAUACUUCU